UUUUCAUUUUCACUUUCUCUCACUUCUCUCUCGUCUCUGCUCCGAAGAAUUUUACGGUUUUAAUAUCAAACAUGAGAAAACGAUUACAGAGAGGAAUGAUUUUAGCUUUAUCGAUCUCUGCUGAUGACUACAAACCGAUGAACAAAAUCAAUCAUUCAUUUUUAGUUUUUAGAUUGACUCUCAGACCAAACCUACACAGAUUUUUCUAGGGUUUUCUUUCUUCUCAUUUGAUUUAUAGAUUAGUUUAUCGAUUUAGCAGCUCAAUCAUCCAAUCGAUUUGAUCUGUCUCCUUUAAUCUGGAUUUUUCAGUUGAUUCGAAGACAUAUCAUGUAAUCGAUUUGAUUCAAAUAGGUUUAACAACUACGAAUUCAAAUCAAUCAGCUGAUUCCAAUUUGUUGUUUGGAAGCUACUUCAGAUCGGAACAGAACAAUAUUGCAAGAUGAUGAGGAAAAGGUCAAAGUAGAGGAGUCGUUCCAAUGCAAAAGUUUCCCAGGAGAUGACAGAAAAGGAAGCGCAAGUGCAGAGGAUACUGGUGAGGAUACAUCCUCAUCUGUUUUGGAGAGAUGGGCUAUAAAGGUUGAACAAUCAGUGAAUAUUUCUCUUACGUUACAGAGAUUAUGCAAGAUUCUUUGUACUCGAAACCAUUGCUAGAGUUCCUUAUUUCGUGUUUAUGUAUGUUCUACACCUGUACGAGACUUUUGGUUGGUGGAGAAGAGCGGAUUAUUUGAAAGUGCAUUUUGCUGAAAGCUGGAAUGAGAUGCAUCACCUACUUAUCAUGGAGGAACUUGGGGGAAAUUCCUGGUGGUUUGACCGCUUUCUUGCCCAACACAUUGCAGUAUUCUACUAUUUCAUGAUAGUGGUGAUGUAUAUGAUAAGCCCAAGAAUGGCUUAUGAGUUGAAAAAACGGCUGGCCUCUGAGGUUGCUGUCAAAUACUACAUAGAAGGUGACUUGUACUUGCUCGAUGAAUUCCAAACUGCCAGAUAUCCCAAUUCUCGAAGGCCCAAAAUGGGUAAAAAGGAAGGACCAACGUUGUUUUUGGUUUUUGACGUUUAAUUUGCAUCUUACAAUAUCUAAAUCAUCCAACACGAAUGGUGGAAUGUAUGUGAAUAUUUUGUAUUAUGAUUUGUAUUUUUCAUGAGGAACUAUUUUUUUUAUUCAGAAAAUUUUGUACGAUGUGUUUCUCAAUAUAAGAGACGACGAAGCAGAGCACUGCAAGAUGUGGGUGUGGAGGUUGACAGGCCUGCUGAGGAAACACCAGCAGAAGUCGAGACUGAAGUUUUUGGCGCUUAGAGAUCUGUUUCUAACAUGGCGAUUAUGCAGAAUGUAGGGAAACACAUUAGGAAGUUGGUUACAGUUGGAUUCAUCAGCUGCACUGACAUGACACUCUAGCAGUUUAUGCCUGGAUGGAUAAGGAUGUUGGUUAUUUUCAAGGUGAUCAGUGAUGAUCCUUUGCUCAUGGAUGAUAUCGUUGACUAUGUCAAGUACUUACAGCUUCGUAUUAAGGUACUUGUCCCUCUUAUAUUCAUGUGUUUCAUUUGGACAUGGAUAAAUUGUGGAAAAAUGACGCAACAGUAGCAUCUGGAAGUACUAGAAAAAGUUUUUAAAAUUUUCUAGUGAAUUUACUUUUAGAUUGGUAUCAUGCAUGAGUCUCAUACUUGAUGAUACUAUUCUUUUUAUUAUACUGAAGUAUGCCAUACGUUGUUGUUGUUGAUCCUCAGUUAUGUCCGAGGAUAUACUAACUGAAUGUGUGACUGCUAGUUACACUAUCUAAUUGGAUGUAUAACUUCCGAUUACACAUGCCAUAUGCAUGUGUAACUUCCGGUUACACAAGUCGUAUCAUGUUACACAAGUCGUAUUAUACAUCUAUUUAAGUUCUUAUUGCAACUGAUCUCUUAAUUGUAAUUUAUUCACUUAGUUCCUGCAAAUUAGUAAAGAAGUUUAUUUGCCAGUUU